rnacentral:lncRNA from 1 species
CGAGCUCUCUCUUCAUCCUCAUGUUGAUAAGAGCGUAGCAUUUCAUCACUAGCCAUUUCUUUUGCAGUCAUGCCAACAACGGUCUCCGGCUUGACCUGCCCAAAAAGGACUUUUCUUCGGGAAUCUGGGUUCUUAGGAUCCUUGAGGUUACCCAAGACAGCUCUAUACUUGAUCUUAUAAGGCCCAUCAGAUCGGUCCCAUUUCCCAAACAUUGCAGACUCCAAUGCUAUUCCAACUCGAACUGAGUCACAUGCAUUCACUUCAUCUCGAAUUUCUUCGUCAGCCUCACCAGAAACCUUGGAUAAAGCAUCAAAAACUUUUUCCCUCACAACCUCCCGAAAACAAUCAUUGCAUCUAAUCUUAGAACUGCUCAACUUAUGGAGAAUGAUGCCAGAAGCUUCUCCCUCUUCUGUAAUCGAAUUUCCAACAUUGACAUUAUCCGCCGAAUUGGUUUCCUCUGUUUCAACAUUUUCUGAUCUUACUACAUUCGAGGAGCUGGAUGUAGAAUUCUGAUCGACUUUCUGAACCUUGACAAUUCCAACACCAGAGAUCUCCUGACACUCCUCAGAGGUCCUCUUAUCAACCUUCUCUAUUUUUGCAGGCUCAGUGUCGCCAGGGAUUGUACAGCUUCCUUUUUUCUCAUCUCUUAUUUGCUCAAGAAACAUAUCUCUCCACGACACAAUCAAGUCAGACGCAAAAUCCUGGAUUUUCUUCCUUGGAUGUUCUGUCAGAGGUAGAAGAUACCUUACAAGCUGAAAUGAUAUAUAUACCAAUAAAUCAAUUCCAGGAAGUACCAAAGUAAUUAAAUGCAUUCAGUCUAUGCAAAUUGAUAAUUUUUGUGAGGCUGCACAAAAUAAAACACCAAGGUACAAAACAUGAUUUCCUUCCACAGGCAUUUAGCAUAUUGACCAUACUGCUUUUUCUUAAUGUGAAGCAGAAAAUGAGUCAUGAAAAGACGAAAAAACAAAUUGUUGGAUGAGAAGUAUUUGAUCUUUUUGCGACUUUCUGUACGAAUGAUACUGACCUAGAUUCUGCAAUAGCGCAGACAUCUCAUAGGUUUGGGGCAUUACAAAAGGGAAUAAUCUAUACUCAUUUAUUAUGGAAUUUAAAUGUAACUUAUGAUGUAUAUAUCCUAGUAAUGUCCAACAAAACAAUCUGCUCAUGUUAGAUAGUUCAUUGACAAUGCUAUCAGAUGAUAGAGGAAAUUCUUCUUGAGUGAAGAAAAUGAUCACAAAGUAAAAGAUGCAAGUCAUAAAUGAAACGAAAUGAGUAGGUACCGUCGAACUCCUUUUUCCCAAUUAUUAACAAAAGAUACUUCAACAACAAAACUGUAAAACUUGUGAAGAAAUCAUAAGCACAUUCAAAACGAUCAAUGCUGAAUACAGAUAACAAGCUCAGUACAUAAACAUAUAUAGAGAGUGAGGAAUAACACCUGCGUUGAAACAAGAAGCGGACAGGUGAUAUCAGACUUGUUGAGCUGAUCCAAUGCAUCAAUGCACCAUGCGGUCCAUGCUUUCUCCGCCUCACCCUCAGCCAUUACUGCCGCUUCUGCCCCUCUUUUUGCCUCUUCACACAGCUGCAUCACCUUUUUCUCCAUUGCUUUUUCCUCCACCUCUUCUUUCUUAAGCAGUUGAAAGGACAACAAAAUUAUAACAAGCGAAAAUAUUAAUGAAUUAUUUCUUGCCAAGAAGUAAACAUGAACUUAACCCAUAAUUAUUUUGAUGAACGAUAUUCAUAAACUUGUUAUUUCACAUUUGCAUAUAUGAAUCGACAGCCACAAUGCAAAGACAUAGUUUUUUUCCUUAUUCAUUUACCUUAAAAUCUGUAGCCUUCACCACUGAAAUAAGGAAUAGAACCACGUUAUAAAGGUUAAAUACAUUUUGUAGUAUUCGAUUAUUUUACUGACUCUAUCAUGUAAUUUUCACCCAUUGCGGCAAUUCAAGUCCAGAAGUUUAUAUAAAGUGAAACACCCAUCCCGAAUAAAUAAAUAGAAAAAAUUAACCUAAAAAUUGAAAAAGAAAAAGAAAAGGGUAAUUGAAUGCACUCACAAUUUCCAUUGAGCGGCGCCGGCGAGUGACUGCUUCUGACAGCUUUGUCGAGCCGUGGUAGUCCAGAAGUUUAUAUACAGUGAAAUACCCAAGCAAAAGGAUUUCUUUGUGUUAACGUGCUAUUUUGAAUUAUUUAAUGAGAAGGUAGAUUGGUCUUUUUGUAUCAAAGGUCUUUUUGGUCCAAUUCACAAUAGUUCACUCCGUAUCCGUAUGUAUGGGCCAUGGGGGGGACAGUAUUGUGUCAUUUGCCAUGUGAGGUUUCUUUUAUCCAGAGGUCAUGUGAAGUUAAAACACGCAAUUACCAUGAACCACUAAGGGUUUGUUUAGUAAUAUUAUAUUUUAAAAAUAAUUAAUUAUUAUUAAUUGUACUGCAAAGAUAAUAACUAUAAAGAGAAUUCAUUAAACCUAAACAGCAAUUCAGAUUUUCUCUCUCAAUUCCAGGAAAAAAUAUUUAAGGUAAAAUCUGUUUGAAAUCAAAAUUUUUAAAUCAGAAUCCUCCACACAUACUUUAUUACUUUCUUCUGGCCUAGACCUGUCACCAUCGGGAGUACCUGUUUGUUAGUUGGGGUCCAGGAUUAACCAAAGUCAUUGUCUUAUAACUUAUGUAAUGAAACUUUAGGUAUCCUCCUGAUCCCUGAACCCGAACUAAAAGGAAUUCUGAAGACAUUCUCUCGGUGCCUUCAAAGCCAACUAUAGAGAUCAGAUCAGAUCAGUCACCUUAUCAGGUCUUUAUUUUUUUCAUGCUUUCUUAUAUCAUUAGCUGAGUUUGUAUGGUGAUAUAUAUUGAAGCAAGCGUGGUCUGUAUUAAAAGUACUGAUUUUUAUUUGAUUUCUUCCCUUUUCUUCUCAAAUGCGACUUAUGGGUUUGUAGUUUUUUGUCAAUUAAUUAUAUUAAUCAGAUUUUGUAGUUUUUUGUCAAUUAAUUAAAUUAAUCAGAUAAUUACAUUUAGCUGUACAUCCUGGAACAUUAAUUGUAUCUAAAUCCUUGUUCAUCGAUCUGGGUAAUUUUCUAAAAGACAGUUUUAUUUUUCUUAAAUAAAUUUACAAUAUCACCACGUUCUGGUUUCCCGUAGGAGGCAGAUGGAGUCUCUCCCUCAGAGCAUAGGUUACAUUCCUAUAUUUAUUUAUAUUAUGCUGGUAUUGAUUUUAUGUCUUCAUUUACUAAAUUAAUUUGCUUAUCUAACUUGCCUGUUUGGAUCAACUCUCUCAGGUAGCACCUGCAUUUACAAAAAAAGCGAAAGAAAAAGAAAGAUGAGAUCCGAGGGUGAUCACAUCAACGAACUCCCGGAUGAUAUUCUUGUAAAUAUUUUGUCUCGUUUGACCAUGAAAGAAGCUGUAAGGACCAGCAUAAUAUCAAGUAGAUGGAGAUAUUUGUGGAGAGGUUUCAGUGGCUGUUUGAACUUUGACGAUCCCUUCACCAUGGCAAACUCAAAGUGGCCUCAUUUGAAUUUGAAAAGUGGGCCAAUAAAUGUAGAAAGGCAUAAGUUUGUCAAUUGGGUCAAUCAAGUGUUGAGUUCACUUGAAGGUCAUUGUACCGAAGGAUUAAGGAUUUGCUUUGAUGUGUUCUCUAACCACGAUAUCGAUAACUGGAUCAAAUUUGCAUUGGAAAGGAGAGUUAGAAGGCUUGAGUUGGAUUUCUCAAGAGUUGUGUAUAAUCUUCGGUUUGUUGGCCAAUACACAUUUCCAUCACAUCUUGAUUUUUAUUCCAGCUUUAGGCAUCUUACAGACCUAAGUUUGACAACGGUGGGCAUAACAGGAGAGGUUCUUGAACAUUUGUUAUGUUAUUGCUGUCCUGUUCUUGAAGUGCUAAAUGUUGCAGAGUCAAGCAGUCUUACGAGCCUUAAAGUGUCUGGUCCAUCACUUAAGUUGAAACACUUGAAAUUAAACAAGUUGGACAACUUGAAGGACCUUCAACUUCAUGCCCCGAAUCUCUUAUCUUUUGAAUAUUCAGGGCCAAUACUACCUUUUUCUUUCGGAAAUGUCCCGAAUCUUGUUGACGCAUCCUUUUGGGGCUGCUUUAGUGCAUACAUCGCGAAGAACCUAUGCCGGCAUUCUAUUUUUCUUGUGCAGCUACACACUCUUAAAUUGGACACGUGUCAUCUGUUGGUAAUUAGUUUUUUUUUUCAUUUUUAUUGAUUCCUUAUUGCCGCUGCUUUUGUUAAUUUUGUCUUCAAUAUUUUGUUGAUAUUGAUGCAUAAUAAAUUUGCUUCUUACUUUAUUCAGAUCGGUGACAGUGAAUAUAGAGCAGGCCGCUACCUCCACGAUAUUCCUGAAAUGUGCAAUCUCAAGCAUUUGGAAAUUAUUGGAACGCCAAAGGUUAAUGACCUCCUUUUUUGUAUUGCUUUAUUGGAAGCAGCUCCUUCAUUGUAUAAAUUUUCUCUGAAGGUGAAUGUUAUUUAAUUUAUUAAUUUAUUAAUAGGUGGAAAUUAAUGCCAUUUACUAAUUUAUGAUAUAUAUGGUUGUGUUUUUCAGUUAGUAUCACAAUAUGACUAUGAGAGCUAUGAAUCGGUCAAGACCAUCAAGGAUCAGCCGUAUUUAAGCUUCACAGAACUAAGAAGUAUUAGGGUGGUGGAGUUGCUGGGAUUUGUAGGACAUACAGCUGAUUUUGAGCUCCUAAUGUACUUAAUUUUCAGUGCGAAGCUGUUGGAGAAGAUUAUUAUCGACCCUUGUCCAACAUGGAGAGUGGGAACUCCAGCGGAAUUGAUCUGGAGGGAAACGGCGGAGUAUCAAUCCGCUAGAAGGCGUGCUUUUGAGUUGGCAGCUAAAUUUCCUUUAUGGGAAUUUGUGAUACCGUAAAUUAUUAUUUGUCUUCUUAUCUAAUUUGCUUUUUGGGUGGUUGGUGUUGUUGAAGAUAAGGAUUCUUUGCUCAUUUGAGAUUUUGUCGAGCACUAAAUUGAUGGUUAGAAUUUUGUUGAACACUAAAUUAAUAAUUAGAUUUACUUUACUUUACUUAAGUAAUUUGACGGGGAAAUUUUUUUAAAUUCUUUUAAUGGUUUUUCCUUGGAAUUAAGAUUUUGCAGCUUCUCUUUUUUGUGAGAGAGAGACACUUUUCUGGCAAGCAGGUAGAAAGUGGAGUGUGGAGUUUGUGAAAGAGGGUAUUGGUGAAAAGCAUCGCCUCGCGUUAUAGUAGUAAGUUGUCUGAUUAAUUGCGAAACUUGAAUGAGUUUGUGGGCUGUUAGAUCUUUUCAAACGACUUGACGAGCAUCAAAUUUCUUAAAGAGCACUGACAAACGAAUCAAAAUCAAAGACACAAUUUUUUUGUUUUUUAGCAAAUUUUGAAUUUUUUUUAAAAGACAAAUAAUCAAAGAAAAUUAUAUAAAUUUCAAAACGGCAAAAAUUCUGUCGUAUUUGAUUAUUUUUCCUUUCUUAAAGAAAUCUUGUACUUUGUUAUUGAGUCUUUCGUCAAUCUUCAUUUUAAUUUAAAAAAAUACCGUUUUAACCUUUAAGUUCGAAAAUAAAAUUACCGUUUUAGCUGGCUGGCAAGCAAGUGGCAGUACGCCUUCAGUGAGCUGGGCUGUUUAAUUUCGGACGUGGGCCUCUUUUAAACAGUUGCUGUUGGGGACCCUUGGAGAGCCCUCAAGUCAAGUCUCCAAACCCAGCCGUAGAACUCGAUUGAAUUUGUCUUGCAUACGCCCAACGCCGAUCAAAAGUGUUGGUUUGAAUUUUGAUUGUCCUUUAAAUAAAAGAAAUCAAAGGAUGCCCGAUGCCCCUCGCUAAAUUCUAUGUUUUUGUCUUUUUUUUUUGGGGGGGGAGCUCAUUGUGGUUGCUAGCAUUUACUAAUUAUUUCAAAUACUCUUAACUCUAUUACCGCAAAGCCAAAUUCAACUCUUUUGAGUUUUUUUUUUUAAUUUUAAUAAAAAAAUGGUGCAACUCUUCUAACCCUUUUCGAUCAAAAGGGUUCUGGUUGUUAUGGUUGUUGGCUUGUUGCUGGUGAAAUAUGAGUUCAUAGAAGAAGGAAAUGAAGCAUGUAUCUUUAAAAAUAGUUUAUUUUGAUAAUGAAACUUAGCCCACAAUUUAGCUUCUGUUUUCUUGGAUUGAUGAAACCCCUUAGUGAAAAUAUACAAAAUCUAAAUAAAACAAAAAUAUAGAAAGGCAGAAAGGUGAGAGUGAGAACUAAAGAGAGUUGACAGAUAUGCAAAUAAAAGAGUUGACGUUAUUUCAACCUACUGAAAUACUUGUUAAACCGGUUUUUUGAUAAUUUUUUUUUACUAAAAUGCUCACAACUUAAAAUUAUUGUUGUAGACAACAUAACUAAACUUUUAUUUAAAGAAAAUCUUGAAUUCGUCUUCCUCAUCUACAUUCACGAUGACAAUUUCAAGUUUUUUCUGCCUCUGAAAGAUAUGAUAGCACCAAUUAAAAAGCUUUAAUAUGACCCCAAAAAAAAGAAAAAAGAAAAAACUAAAUGUUGCAGAAGUUGCAUAUUGGUCUUCAAACUUAAUGUAGUGAACAAUAGUGGUUGAGUGCGCAAAAAUUAAGAAGUAAAUAACAAAUCUUACCGUGUAAAUAUCUCUCAGUUGCCGAUGCAAAACAAAGUUCUAAUCGUAUCAAUUACUUCAGAGAUUCUGAGAAAGGAGUAAAAUUAAAUGUAUACCAUCCUUGUCGAGCCCCACCCAAAACAUUAUACGCUUCAUGGGGGUGGGUGGUGGGGAACGUUUGUAGUAAAGUGUGUAGGAGAGUGGUUGAGCCAUUUGUGGGCAGAUCCUUUGUUUCUUGUUUUGAUUCUGAUACAUCUGAAUGCCGAGAGAGGUUACAUUAAAUAAUAAUAAUAACAAUAAUUGAAAGGCAUCAAAGAAAACUUAUAUAUAUAUAUAUAGAAAUCGAGAAAUAUUACAAAAAAAAAAAAAACCUUAAAUAGGAAUUAAGACAACAUGUUCUCCCCCGACGAGAAACAAAUUAAUAUUUCCUGCCUUCCAUAGGUAAAGGAAAGGAUGUCCUUAAGGAGGAUUAAUUCAGAUUUUGUAUUAUUUAUCCGUAAAUAGCAAAACACUUUCUACAUCCAAGUUCGUGCUCAACGUGUGGCCCUGCCUUAUCGUGAGAUGAUAAACGCCAUGACAUUGAUACAUGGACUGAUGAGUACUACCGUUGAGGGGAAAGACACAGUUCAAUUUGUUGUGCUUGUUAUACUAAUGCUAAGUGAUUUCGUUCCAAUUGAUAUCACUUAUUGGAUGUGAGGAGGUUGAAUAAAUAAUUUCACAAAUUAUGAAAUUUUACCAUCUAAUAGCUAUUAAUGAUAUAUCAUUUAGGAUAUCGGUAGGAAAGUGAAUAAUUAUUAAUUCAAAAUAUUUAUAUGUUGCACGUUUGUCACCAUACCAAUAUACAGGGGCGGAGACAGCAUGUUGAUUGACUGGGGGCUUACCCAACGACGAUAAAAAAAUUUAAAGAGUAAUAAAUAUAUAAAUUUGAAAGAUUUAUCAUACUUUAAUAUAUGUUUACAAUUGUCCUUUACGAGUUUUCAUACAUUGAUAACGUUGCAUUACAACUUCAUUAUCAAUAUUAUUAAAUAAGUCUUUUUCUAUGUAAACAACUAAACUAUCAUUCAUCCAUUGCUCUCCCAUUCGGUUUCGUAACCGAUUCUUCAAAAUGUUCAUGGCUGAAAAUGCUCUCUCUACACUCGCAGUGGCAACAGGUAAAGUCAAUGCCAAUGUUAUUAACAAGUAAACUAAUGGAUAUACAUUAUGUCUCUUAGUCUCGACCAUCCGCUUUGUAAGAUCACCAAUAUCCUUUAAUUCUGAAAACUCACCACUAGUGCGCAUAUCCAAAAUAUAUGUAUCAAGUUGAAUCUCAAGUGCCAUGAUAUCAAUUGUAGAGAACUCAUUUGGAUACAACUGGGCUAGCCGUAAUAGCUUCUGCUUGUUGAAAGUUGAAAAUAAAUCAUUUGGAGAUAAACAUGCUAAGCAAAGAAGCAACUCAGUGUUUGUCUCAUUAAAACGAGAAUUAAGCUCUUGAAGUUGCAUAUCUAAGACUGCAUAAUACAAUUCAACACGAUAACGAUGCAAAUUUGUGAUCUCUUGAGCUUUACGUCGUGAUCGCCCUCUAUCCACAAACAUAUCAUCCAUAUUAGGCACGUCAAUAUCAUGCUUCGCACAAAAAAAAAGUAACUUCAUCAAUCAAAGAAUUCCAUCCACUUUGUCUCAUUGUUUGAAGUUGUAGUUUACAUAACCUAACCAAGUUCAUAGCAUUCACAAUAUCUUGAUCUUUCCUCUGUAAUGUUUGUGAUAACUCAUCUGUAGCCCCUAAAAUAUUCCUCAUCAAAUGUAAACAGAACACAAAAUUAAAUGACAACAUCAACUCUAGUAAAUUCUUUGCUUCUCCUCUUUGCACAGAUUUUGGUCCAUCAUCAAUAAUCAUUUCCAAUACACUAAUUACUGCUGAAAACAUGUUAAUAAUGCUCAAUAAUGUAUUAUAAUGUGAACCCCAACGUGUAUCACCACAACGUUUUAGAGUAGUCUCUUGGUUUAGGCCUUGCCCACUCGAGAGAUCUCCAAGAUUAAGUGCUUUAACAACUUCCUCAGCAUGUUUCUCUCUAAGAGCAUCACAACGUUUAGACGAGGCUCCAACAACAUUCACCACAUUGGCAAUUAUAGCAAAAAAAGAUUCAAUUUGAAUAUGAUUUUUUGCAACAACAAUAAGAGCUAACUGAAGUUGAUGAGCAAAACAAUGAAUGUAAUAAGCACACUCAUUCUAUCUCAAAAUUAUGGUUUUAAGGCCAUUAAAUUCUCCUUGCAUAUUACUUGCUCCAUCAUAACCUUGCCCUCGCACCCUAGACAUACUCAACCCAUGUCUAGAAAAAAGUCUAUCAAUAGCUUCCUUAAGUGAUUGAGCAGUAGUACUACCAACUUGUUCAAUGCCUAUAAAACGUUCAACCACUUGUCCACUAAUGUUUACAUAUCGUAAGACAAUAGCCAUUUGCUCUUUUAUUGAUACGUCGCGAGAUUCAUCAACCAAAAUAGAAAAAAAUGCAUCACCCAUCUCUCUUAUAAUGGCAUUAGUGGUCUCAAUUGCACAAGCACUAACAAUGUCUUUUUGAGUGUCAGGACAUGUCACUUUCAAAAAUGAUGGGGCAUUUUCUAAUGUAACAGCUUUUAUAUCCUCAUUAUGAUCAGCCAAAAAUUUGAGAAGUUCUAGAAAGUUACCUCGGUUACUUGACUCUUCAGAUUCGUCAUGGCCGCGAAAUGCAAGUCCUUGUCGUAAAAGAAAUCUGACACAAUCAAUUGAUGCUUGUAAGCGAGCUCGAUAUUCACUUCUAGUUUGAUUAGAAUGUCUAGAAUACAUUGUUUGAAUAUGUUGCUCUUGCUUCAUUAAAUCUUGACAAGAACACCAAGCAUCAUUGUGGACACUAUUAGAGCAACCAACAUGAACUCUCAAUCUUUCUGGUUUUUUCCAAUUUGUAAACCCAUGUUUAGUAAAAGAUUCACCACCGGCUUGUUCUCCAAUUUAUGGCUUGAAAAGAUAACAACAAAGACAAAAUGCAGCAUCCUUUGCAAUGCUAUACUCUAACCAAUUUCCAUAUUUAUCAAACCAACUUGAAUUGAAUCUCCGAGAUUGUUUUCCAAAAUGCCUAAGAGGAAAAUUGUGAGUUUUUGGUUGACAAGGGCCAUUUUGCAAAUAUUGUCUUCGAACUUGAUCUUGAAUAUUUACAUUGUAGUAAGAAAUUGGAUGUCGUAAUCCAGGAUCCAUAGGAAGAUUCAAUAAAUUCACCUCCACAUCAUUUUCUCUCAUAGUUCCAACAUCAUCAUUCUUUUGUUUUUUACCACAAUCAUCAUCUCUCUUUGAACCACUCUUGUCUUUUUGUUUUGAAGCAUCAUCAUUUUUUUCUAAAAAUUGUGGCUCCUUUCUUUUGUAAAACCUUUCCAUACCUAUUUCAAAAUAUAAAUAAAGAUUAUGAAUAUUGAGUAGUUUACUUAGGCUAGUAGCACUUUUAGCAUAUUCCCCUAUUAUAUAAUUAUAUUAAUGCUAUAAAUUAAUUAACAAACAUUACAAGACAUUAAAGCUAAACAAGCAAAUGCUUAAUUGCAAUUGUUAUUUUCUUAAUUAAUAAUAUGUGUUCUUUUUUAUGGAAUCUACACUCAAUCACAUAAUUCACAUUAUAUUUUUCAAAUACAUCAAUAGCCCGAUGAUACACUAACUAAUGGGGAAGAAAAACAACUACAUCAAUUCAACAAAUAAUUAUAUAUGAUUUAUAAACAAUAAAAUAAAAAGUAAAUAAAAUAUUAAUUUGUACCUUAAUUUUAUUGAAUGAAGAAACGAGGGGUUGUUUGAAAUUUGGAGGAGAAAUCACUUUCCACUUUGCUUUUGGAGAUGCCGAAACAAGAAGAAGAUGAUUUACGCAAAUUCCAAUGUCUGUCACUGUUGUUUUGCUUUUGGAGAUGCCGAAACAAGAAGAUGAUUUAGGGAUUUCAGAUUUGUGUAUUGGUGCAGGCAGUGGAAUUGGAGAAAGGUAAAGAAUAAUAAAAUAUUAUUAAUGGGUUUGUGGGUUAUUUAAAAAUUUGAUUAAUAUUAAUAUUUGUGGGCUUAAUUUUAGUUUGUAAAGUCCAUAUCUUUUUAUUUGUUUUAAAAACUUAAAGUAUGUAAUUAUGUUUAUGUGUUAGGGGUUUAAAUAUAAAUUAGUGGGGGCUUAGGAAAAAAUUUAUUAGAAAUUUUUGAUAAAUUAAAUUAGUUAAUAAAGGAUUUUUUUUUUCAGUGGGGACUUAAGUCCCCACUGGUCCCAAGCUGGAUCCGCCACUGCCAAUAUACACACUCUUAUAUAUACAAACUGAUAUAAUAGAUUAUAUAGUUUCGACAUGUCUCAUUUGAUUUAUAUUCUUUAUUUUCUUAAAAUUGUGAGGCAUAUACAUUAAUGAAAAUACUGCUAAUUUGGAUUUCAAUUCUUGUAGUUUAAGAAAUUAAGUUAUUUUAAUUUUUAUUUCCCAUUCAGAUUCCAACUCCAUUCCGAUGCCUACUACGUAAAAUGCACUAUUAGAGGAUUAACAGUUUGAAAUGAAUAUGAUAAGAAGGGGGGAGGGGGGGAACUAUUAUUAGAAGAGUCGCAACUAACUCGUAAACCCCUAAAUUAAUCGCAAAGACUAUUUCUGUUACUUUUAGUGUUGUAGUCUUAUCAAAGUAGAGAAAUUAAAUUAUGAAUGUAUGAAUAUAUAUAGCAUUGCUUUUUGUGACUCACAAAUGACGUUAUGUUGAUCAUAAGUACAUCUUAUGAUAUAAGUGAUGAAACAAAAAACAAACUUUAUGUCCUUAAUCGUGCAUUUCUAAAUAAACACAUAUUUUAGGUAAUUUCGAAAUUUACCAUGAUCUCCCAUGAAUCCGACCUUAGAAGCUUGUUAUGGAGCUUUACCGAGUUGCUACAAGCCUGAUCUAACUUCAGAAUUCCGUUUCCUUUGCUUCAGCUCCAGAAUCGGCUUUUCUCAACAAGUUACUGUACACACACGGGAGAGAAACGAGAUAGAGAGAGGUGCACUGCACUCAUGCCACAUAUUUCUUGAACAAUGAACUUCCAAUGGGCUGAAGUUACUUAAAUACAGUGGUUGAGCGCAGGGACCCCUCAUGUGUUAGUACAAAAUUGUCUAUCCCAUUAUGAGCUAAAAUAACACAAUUAAGGAUUAUACUUGUACAUCAUAUACUACUGUAUAGGGUAUGUCAAAAUCAGACCUAUUAACACAAUAUUUGAUCACUUAAUAAAUGAGUCUGUCAAAAUUGCUCCAUAAUAUUUGACAAUAGUCACGUAUUAAUUCGGUAAAAUAUAGAAAACAAUUAGAAUGAUUUAUGUCAGUCCACAUAAUAUGGGAAAUAAAUCUAACAAUAAGACUAUACUAUAAGUUUCGAGAUUCGAGAAUGUUUGCUUUACAAUUUGGUUGCUACUUGUGAAUGAUAUUCUAAUAAAAUUAUCUGAACAAAUUAUCAUUCACAUCAGUAGCAGCUUCAUUGCUAGUCUACUAAUGUUCUUUAUGGGGAAUCAAACCUUGAAUUAUCAUUCACAUCAGUAGCAGCUUCAUUGCAUGUCAGUGUCAUUGCUAGCCAAUUACAAUUCACAUAUGUUAUAUAUAUUUUCUCGUAUGUUCCUCAGCAUUGUCAGUAAGACCCACACCAGUAGGAAGUAGUGGUCUUCCUGUGCCUACAUCGACAACACAAUAAGUCAUGAAAUGCUGACCCAUUUUAGCUUAGCUCCUAAUGCAAUUCAGUUGCCUACUCAAAUCAAUCUUUUUCAAAAUUCAGUUGCCGGCUUCUCCUUCCACAUUCGAGCUCGCUCUUCAUCCUAACGUUGAUAACAGCUUAGCAUUUCAUCACUAGCCAUUUCUUUUGCAGUCAUGCCAACAAUGGUCUCCAGCUUGACCUGCCCAAGAAGGACAUUUCUUCGGAAAUCUGGGUUCUUAGGAUCCUUGAGGUUACCCAAGACAGCUCUAUACUUGAUCUUAUAUGGCCCAUCAGAUCGGCCCCAUUUCUCAAACAUUGCAGACUCCAAUGCUAUUGCAACUCGAACUGAGUCACAUGCAUUCACUUCAUCUUGAAUUUCUUCAUCAGCCUCACU